rnacentral:rRNA from 1 species
UACGGGGGGAGCAAGCGUUGUUCGGAUUUACUGGGCGUAAAGCGCACGUAGGCGGAUUUGUAAGUCAGGGGUGAAAUCCCGGGGCUCAACCUCGGAACUGCCUUUGAUACUGCAAAUCUCGAGUCCGGAAGAGGUGAGUGGAAUUCCUAGUGUAGAGGUGAAAUUCGUAGAUAUUAGGAAGAACACCAGUGGCGAAGGCGGCUCACUGGUCCGGUACUGACGCUGAGGUGCGAAAGCGUGGGGAGCAAACAGG